CCGCCGGCGACCGGCGCACGGGUGAGUAACACGUAUGCAACCUGGCCGUGACAGAUGGAUAACCGGGAGAAAUCCCGCCUAAUACAACAUAAUGCCGGGAGGGGACAUCCCCUGCCGGUCAAAGGGGGCGACCCCGGUCAUGGAUGGGCAUGCGGCGCGUUAGGUAGUUGGUGGGGCAACGGCCCACCAAGCCGACGAUGCGUAGGGGUUCUGAGAGGAAGGUCCCCCACAUUGGAACUGAGACACGGUCCAAACUCCUACGGGAGGCAGCAG
rnacentral:rRNA from 1 species